ACAGGACAGACUGCGGAGGCCGCACCUAUUGAAGAAGACAAAAACAAUUAUUGUGUGGACCUUUGACCCCUGGCAUAUAUAAAAGCACUGAAUAAAGCAGAAUUUGGGUCUCUUCUCUAUCAGGGGACCGUCCCUCCUAAUCCUGCUUCUCUGUGUCUUUCUUUCAUCAUUCUUCCCACUACUUCUCGGCUUCUCGGUGCAUUCCUGAAUAACCCCUGUGGCCGGACCGCAAGAGGUGGUGCCCGAACAGGGACCCGAGAAAUACUGUGGAAAGAACGCCCAGUUCUGGUGUGCUGACCAUUUCCUGAGCUGGGAAACUGUGGGAGAGAUGACAAGAAUGAAGAAUCCAGCCUGCGUGACCCAGAGACCCAAAUGUGACACAGGAAGUCUGAUGUUUAAGAAAACAUGGGCUCAGCAUUCUGAAAGGUCUAGAUAUGCCUUGGCCUGGAGCUGGUGUAGAAAAGAAGCAAGAGAGAUGCUCAGCCUUAGGUGGCCCAGGCACAGCGGUCCUGUCAAGGGGCUGAGCUCUCUGCAACAUGGAUAUCCUGCAGAGACAUCCUUGGGGAGGCUGUGAUCCCAGAAUGAUGCAAAAGUGCUAAUGGAAGUGAGCAGGGGAUGGUUUAUGGGGGAAUGAGGAGACGGGUGUGGGGUCAGAUGUGGUAAGGAGGGUGCAGCCUGAGGAGGAGGCUGUCCAUUGUGAGUCACAGGAGGAGGAGGCCCGGGACCUAGAGCAGUGAUUAAAAGAGGACCUGGAAGGACCUACGCCCUGAAGACACACAGGGACUGGGGUUUUGGUUUGUCUGUGAGGGUCCCUGAGGAGGAUCACAUAAAAAAUCCAUAGUCAGUGUCCUCUGUCCAGGGCUCACUGUCCCAGCUGUUGUUGCUCCCGGAGCCUCUGGGUGACCUGGUUCCUUAGCUGUGGACCUGCUCCUCUCUCUGUCCUCAGCCUAAGAGCUGAUGGGGCAUCCGCCAGGAAGCACAUCCAUGGGCUGGGAGGGGGCCGUGUGCAGGCUUGUCCUGUAUGUGAGACACUGCUCAGCCUUGGUGACCCCCUGUUCAUUAAAGUGGGAGGAAAGGAAAACAAAAUUCACUGUGAACAUCUAUGCAUCAUCAAAGAAAAAGCAAUGAGAAAAAACAGGAAGUGAAGCCCAGCUCUAAUAGUUUAUUACUACUUGGAAAGAAAUAAAACUUAAUAUGCUUGAUGUGUUAUGUAAA